rnacentral:rRNA from 1 species
UACGAGGGGGGCGAGCGUUGUUCGGAAUUAUUGGGCGUAAAGGGUGCGUAGGCGGUUUGGUAAGUCUUAUGUGAAAUCUACAGGCUCAACUUGUAGUCUGCAUGAGAAACUGCCGGGCUUGAGUGUGGGAGAGGUGAGUGGAAUUCCUGGUGUAGCGGUGAAAUGCGUAGAUAUCAGGAGGAACACCUGUGGCGAAAGCGGCUCACUGGACCAUAACUGACGCUGGAUGCACGAAAGCUAGGGGAGCAAACAGG